rnacentral:rRNA from 1 species
AUUCCUGUACUGCUUAUGGACAGAACUGUGGGGACGCAGAAGGAGAGCACGAGCCGGAAAUGGAAAAGCCGGUACAAGCGUAUAGCAGUCAUGCAGGCAAAACCGCAUGAAAAAUGUAAAGCGUUAUGUGGAUCGAACAUUAGUAGAGAAGCGUGUGAGCCAGCUGCCAAGAAAAGCCGCUAUUGCUUCAUGAGUACCCGUACCGUAAACCGACACAGGUGGAUGAGGAGAGAAUCCUAAGGCCGGCGGGAGAAGUGUUGUUAAGGAACUCGGCAAAAUGACUCCGUAACUUCGGGAGAAGGAGUGCCACAGAGAUGUGGCCGCAGAGAAAUGGCCCAAGCAACUGUUUAGCAAAAACACAGGUCUAUGCAAAACCGAAAGGUGAGGUAUAUGGGCUGACGCCUGCCCGGUGCUGGAAGGUUAAGAGGAGAGGUUAGAGCAAUCGAAGCUUUGAAUUUAAGCCCCAGUAAACGGCGGCCGUAACUAUAACGGUCCUAAGGUAGCGAAAUUCCUUGUCGGGUAAGUUCCGACCCGCACGAAAGGCGUAAUGAUUUGGGCACUGUCUCAACAACACACCCGGUGAAAUUGAAAUACCAGUGAAGAUGCUGGUUACCUGCGCCAGGACGGAAAGACCCCAUGGAGCUUUACUCCAGUUUGAUACUGGGAUUCGGUACUGUCUGUACAGGAUAGGUGGGAGGCUAGGAAAUGGUGACGCCAGUUGCCAUGGAGCCAGCCUUGGGAUACCACCCUUACAGUACUGGGUUUCUAACCUGCAGCCGUAACCCGGCUGGGGGACAAUGUCUGACGGGGAGUUUGACUGGGGCGGUCGCCUCCGAAAGAGUAUCGGAGGCGCUCAAAGGUUCCCUCAGAACGGUUGGAAACCGUUCGAAGAGUGCAAAGGCAGAAGGGAGCUUGACUGCGACACCGACGGGUGGAGCAGAUACGAAAGUAGGACUUAGUGAUCCGGUGGUAUAAAGUGGGAUUGCCAUCGCUCAACGGAUAAAGGCUACCCUGGGAUAACAGGCUUAUCACUCCCAAGAGUUCACAUCGACGGAGUGGUUUGGCACCUCGAUGUCGGCUCAUCGCAUCCUGGAGCUGUAGCAGGUUCCAAGGGUUGGGCUGUUCGCCCACUAAAGCGGUACGCGAGCUGGGUUCAGAACGUCGUGAGACAGUUCGGUCCCUAUCCGGCGUGGGCGUAGGAUAUUUGAGAGGAGCUUUCCUUAGUACGAGAGGACCGGGAUGGACAAACCUCUGGUGUAUCUGUUGUUUUACCAAAGGCAUGGCAGAGUAGCCAAGUUUGGCAGGGAUAAACGCUGAAGGCAUCUAAGCGUGAAGCCCCCCUCAAGAUAAGAUAUCCCAUCUUCGGAGUAAGACCCCUUGAAGACUACAAGGUUGAUAGGCUUUGUGUGUAAGUGCGGUAACGCACUCAGCUGAGAAGUACUAAUAGGUCGAGGACUUACCAA